CAGCUUGCUGAAUUCUCGUGCAAUAGUACAUAUUCCCGGCUACUGUUACCAAAUUUAAUUGUGUCUUUUUCAAAAAGCUCAUAAUAACGUUGAGGUUCAAUGGGAUUAUCAUUGAUGAAAGUUUUGUUUGUGCUUCCAAGAUCCAUUAAAUAAGGCCUUACUUGCUUAGAUAAGUUACCAUCAUGCUGCUCCUUUUCUACUUGACGGAAUUGAAUGACUGCAUGUUGCUUGCUACAAGAUGGGUGGUCUGUAGGAAUAUCUGCAACCCUUCUUUCUCUACCAAAAAGGUAACAGGUCUGACGAUGUAUAUAUAGGGGCUCAUUCAGCACUUCACCAUUCUUAAAAACAUAUAGUCGCCAUCUUAUAUCAGGUUUGCGAGCAUCUGGAGGCUCAUUGAACAGUAGCGUAACACCUCUAACUCUAUUGGUUUCCGCAGCAAGUUUUCCGGAUAGCUCAAAUGAAGGUUGUUGCUUUUGCUUUGCUUCCAAGGCCUCCUCAGCGGCCUUCAUCUUUGCCACAGAAUCAUCAACGUCACUCCUUCGUUCUGUUCCUCUUGAGUUGGUCACCUCAUCACGUUCUCUCCUAUGGACAUCUUGUUGAGGUGGUGAUAGAGAUCUAUGUUUGCUCCUAUGAUGGUGAUCUGAUGGAGAAGUUGAUUUCCCAUUCCUGGCUCUAGAAGACUUUCCAUCAAUUUCAUCUCUUCCUGACCUUCUCUCCUUUCUCUCAGCUCCACUUUCCCUAUCUUCACCUCUCUCUCUAUGAGUAUUCUGGUCACUAACCAUCCCAGGAUUCCUUUCAUGCUUUCUCUCAGUCAUUUUCUCAGUCUCUCUUUCUCUAUGAUCACCUUUAUCACUUCCCUUGCCAUGACUUUUCUCACGUUCUCUCUCAAACAAUUUUUCUGUCUCUCU
rnacentral:misc_RNA from 1 species